rnacentral:rRNA from 1 species
AGAGUUUGAUCAUGGCUCAGAUUGAACGCUGGCGGCAGGCCUAACACAUGCAAGUCGAACGGUAACAGGAAACAGCUUGCUGUUUCGCUGACGAGUGGCGGACGGGUGAGUAAUGUCUGGGAAACUGCCUGAUGGAGGGGGAUAACUACUGGAAACGGUAGCUAAUACCGCAUAACGUCGCAAGACCAAAGAGGGGGACCUUCGGGCCUCUUGCCAUCGGAUGUGCCCAGAUGGGAUUAGCUAGUAGGUGGGGUAACGGCUCACCUAGGCGACGAUCCCUAGCUGGUCUGAGAGGAUGACCAGCCACACUGGAACUGAGACACGGUCCAGACUCCUACGGGAGGCAGCAGUGGGGAAUAUUGCACAAUGGGCGCAAGCCUGAUGCAGCCAUGCCGCGUGUAUGAAGAAGGCCUUCGGGUUGUAAAGUACUUUCAGCGGGGAGGAAGGGAGUAAAGUUAAUACCUUUGCUCAUUGACGUUACCCGCAGAAGAAG